UAAAAUUAUUUAUUGUUUGCAGGUGUGUCAUAGUGCUUGUUUGGAGGUCACUGGAAAACUUGUAGCAAUUAUUUCUUUCCAACGUGUGGGUUCUGAAGACUGAACUCAGGUCAUCAGACUUGACAGCACAUGCUUGAAUCCGCUGAGUCACAUAUCUGGCUUUCCUCCUUACUUUCUGAGUUCAGGGUCCCUUUCCAAGAGACCAACCCUCUCUACAGUCAGUCUGAUUCUUCCAAUAACAAUGAACAUGAUCAAGAUAAUUCUUCACAGUGAUGCCUGGAGUUCCAUCACCAAGCUCCUACCUCCUAAGGAUUCCAUUGCCCAUGAGAAAAGGACCACAAUUUGGAAAUAAUCAUUUGAUACAUGGCCUUAUAGGGGACAUUACAGAACAAAACCACGUCGGGACUGUAUGUAACACCACUAAUAGACUAUACUAUAGUAUAAUGCUUUGUCGUAUUCCUGUGGUCUAGAAUAGAAGUUGCAAGUAUGCAGCAAUAUUUAAAUCAUAAAAAAACUUAAAAAGAAGAUAAUAAAAUCUCUCUAGAAAAUUUGAGGUACCAAAACAAUCUUUUAUUAUUAGGCCAGUAAAUAAUUAUUGCAAUAAAAGUGCACCUUAAUAUGACCUACAAGUUUUGCCCAGGGAAGGCUAAGUAUUUAGAAACAAUUUUUUAUUGUUUGUUUAUUUUGUGUAUAUGAGUACACUGUAGCUGUCUUUAGACACACCAGAAGAGGGCAUCAUAUCCCAUUACAGAUGGUUGUGAACCACCAUGUGUUUUCUGGGAAUUGAACUCGGGACCUCUGGAAGAACAGUCAGUGUUCUUAACCACCAAGCCACCGCUCCAGCCCCUAGAAACAACUUGUAAAUUCACCUGUGAUCUGUUUGUGCUUGUGUUGCUGAUUGCUAAAGCCCCUUGAGUGUAAAGCAAGCUAUCUACCACUUGAUAUGGCUCUAGCCCUCUUUUAUACUUUCUGAGACAGCAUCUAAGAAGGUUUCCUAUGCUGGCCUUGAACUUGAGAUCUUUCUGCCUAAGGCUCAGAGGCUGGAAUUCAAGUCUCUACCACCAGUCCCAGCUUCUCUGCACUUUUAUAUAAGGAUAUCUUCUACUUCCUACAAUAAUAAUAUAGCAGGAAUAUCCACUAAAAUGAAAGAGAAAAGAAAAACAAAAGAGUGCCUUCUUUCUGUGCAUCUCCUGGGUGAAUUACUAUGUGACACUUCCUAUGCUGACGGUAAUUAUUAAACGGUGCUCUCACUUGU